rnacentral:misc_RNA from 1 species
AACGCACAUUGCGCCCCUCGGUAUUCCGUGGGGCAUGCCUGUCCGAGCGUCGUGUCACCGCUCAAGCCCCCGCCCUUGUGCGGGGCUUGGUGUUGGGGCUCGCCGUCGCCCCCCGAGGCGGCCGGCGUCCCUGGAAGACAUUGGCGGCGCCUGCGCGGCUCGCGGUCCAGCGUUGAUGGGCCCGCAGAGAGCCGAGCGUGGCGCGCCCGCCCGACCACAUUUCUCCACACAAGGUCGACCUCGGAUCAGGUAGGGAUACCCGCUGAACUUAA